rnacentral:sRNA from 1 species
GGGGAUGUCACGGUUUCGACGGGGGCGUGGAGGCUGGAAUAGCGGGCGGCGGCGCCUGACCGCCAUAAAACGGGCAACCUUAUAAAUUAAAGAACAACGAUAACACUGUUCUUCUCGCUGCUUAAUUAGCGAGCGUUCCCGCCGGGAGGCCCACGGCCCGGAUGCGGAGCGUCGAUGAGUGGGGAACGUGCGCUCGGUAAGCUUUGCCCGAGCCACGCAUCAUGAAGCUACCGGACCGGAUGGGUUUGCGUGUUGACCCGCCGUGAUGGGAACAGACGCUUUCAGAGCGUCAGGACAACCCGCUGCGCCCGGAGAAGUUCCUGUCAAAACACUUUCGGACGGGGGUUCAACUCCCCCCAUCUCCACCA